AAAGCGGAGGAAAAGGAACUAACAAGGAUUCCCCUAGUAACUGCGAGUGAAGCGGGAAGAGCUCAAAUUUAAAAUCUGGUAGUCUUUGGCUGCCCGAGUUGUAAUCUAGAGAAGCGUUAUCCGCGCUGGACCGUGUACAAGUCUCCUGGAAUGGAGCGUCAUAGAGGGUGAGAAUCCCGUCUUUGACACGGACUACCAGGGCUUUGUGAUACGCUCUCGAAGAGUCGAGUUGUUUGGGAAUGCAGCUCUAAAUGGGUGGUAAAUUCCAUCUAAAGCUAAAUAUUGGCGAGAGACCGAUAGCGAACAAGUACCGUGAGGGAAAGAUGAAAAGAACUUUGGAAAGAGAGUUAAACAGUACGUGAAAUUGUUGAAAGGGAAACGCUUGAAGUCAGUCACGUUGGCUAGGAAUCAGCCUUGCUUUUGCUUGGUGUAUUUCCUGGUUUUAACGGGUCAGCAUCAAUUUCGACCGAUGGAAAAAGGUCAGGGGAAUGUGGCAUCUUAGGAUGUGUUAUAGCCCUUGGUCGUAUACAUCGGUUGGGAUUGAGGAACUCAGCACGCCGCAAGGUCGGGUUAUCUAACCACGUUCGUGCUUAGGAUGCUGGCAUAAUGGCUUUAAUCGACCCGUCUUGAAACACGGACCAAGGAGUCUAACAUGCCUGCGAGUGUUUGGGUGGAAAACCCGAGCGCGUAAUGAAAGUGAAAGUUGAGAUCCCUGUCGUGGGGAGCAUCGACGCCCGGACCAGACCUUCUGUGACGGAUCCGCGGUAGAGCAUGUAUGUUGGGACCCGAAAGAUGGUGAACUAUGCCUGAAUAGGGUGAAGCCAGAGGAAACUCUGGUGGAGGCUCGUAGCGAUUCUGACGUGCAAAUCGAUCGUCAAAUUUGGGUAUAGGGGCGAAAGACUAAUCGAAC
rnacentral:rRNA from 1 species